AUUACUCUGACAUUUCACAUUCUUAAAAUAAAAUGGUGAUCCUAACUGACUAAGACAGGACAUUUCUACUAGGAUUAAAUGUCAGGAAUUGUGAAACUGAGUGUAAAUGUAUUUGGCUAAGGUGUAUGUAAACUUCCGACUUCAACUGUAUAUAUAAUAAUAAUAAUUAUAAUAAAAAUAAUAAUAUGGGUAAGUUUGCGUUUGAUAUGCUAAAUUACACAUUCUGUUAACAUCUGACUCCAGAGUGAUCUAUUCUAGUUUGGAUGUAGUGAACUACUUUUCCAAAGUAACUUUAGCUAAGUAAACUAUACAUUUCUUAAGGGUAGCUUUAGUGUAGUUUAACGUCUUCCAGUGUGAAGUAAUUGGUAGCUUGGUAAACUAUAUUUUCAGAGUAGCUUACCCAAAACUGAAUAGGAUGCAGACAGUUACCUUAAAUAAAUCAUAGUUAUGUGCUCUUGAUAUUGAAGCAAACUCUCACCAUAUUUGGCUGCCUUAGAUCCAGCUCCUGUAAAAUAGAGCGAUGCAAGAAACUGAAAUUAGCAUUGGCAUCAGAUGAAAUAACUUAUCCUUAAAAAAAUAAGAAUAUUUAAGUGAACUCCUUCUGUAUUUCAAACGCCAAAUGCGUAGCCAUGCAGAGUGUAGGAUGGGAGGUAGCCAGAAGGAGGGACCUGGUGGGGGGGAGGAGUGAGUGUACACAUAUCUAGCACAUUCUACACGUGUAUGAUAUGUAAGAUAUCAUGUGGAAAGAUAGGAGAAUGCCCCCACACACUGUUUAGAUGCUCUCAGAGUUUGUUGAGGACCAGAUUCAAUGUUUAUGUCAAUAUGGUCAAAAUUUUGCAACAUCAAAACAGCUAGGAGUAUUUAAAAACUUGUCAGCAAGUAUUCUCCUUUCUUUUCCUUUAUGUCUCUAACUCACCUCCUGGGUAGGCACCUCCUACUCCUAGGCCAGCCCCUGGGUACCGCCCUCCACCUGGGUAACCCCCUGGGUAUCCAUACCCACCUGAGCCAGGGACGCCCCCUGCCCCAGGUACGCCUCCUGCUCCGGCUCCGCCCCCAUAACCAGGUACGCCUCCUGCUCCGGCUCCGAAUCCAGGUAUGCCUCCUGCUCCACCUCCGUAACCAGGGACCCCACCUGCUCCAGGUACACCGCUAGGUACUCCUCCUGCUCCGGCCAUGCCCCCUUGACGAGGUACACCACCAACUCCAUAACCAGGGACCCCAUCUGCUCCAGGUACACUGCUAGGUACUCCUCCUGCUCCGGCCAUGCCCCCUUGACGAAGUACACCUCCAGCUCCAGCUGGCCAGGGACAGACAGUUCUUAUCUUUGACUCCAAACCACACUGAACCCCCAAACACCUAGGUCCCCCACACUACAAACACUUGAGUCCCCCCACAUCAAACACCUGAGCCUCUCCACACCAAACACCUGAAUCCCCCCAGACCACAAAUACCUGAGUCUCCCCACACCACAAACACCUGAGUGCCCCCUGACCACAAACAACUAAGUUUCCCUAUUCCCCAAACAUGUGAGUCUCCCCACACAACAAACACCUAGGUUCCCCACACUACAAACACUUGAGCCCCCCCACAUCACAAACACCUGAGCCUCUCCACACCAAACACCUGAAUCCCCCCAGACCACAAACACCUGAAUCAUUCAAUACCUGGGUAAUAAAACCUGUUAUGUCACCAAACGUACACUUACCAUCUUCCUAAGGACUAGUUCAUCUAGUCUUACCGUAAACCUACCAACUACCACUUUCCUAAAGGAUGAAUUAUUAAUUCAGUCUUACCAUAUUUAGCAGCAAGCUUGGCCUGGGAAUUAGCUGAUUUGCCUCCAGCCCCUAAAAAUGGAAGAGAAGAAGAGGACAAAGAGGAGGAAUGAAAUAAGCAAAGGAAGAGAAAUAGCAGGGUAAUAGAUAUGGAUUGUGGAUUGUUGUAGUAGUUUUCUAGUGUCCCAACCUGGUCUCAGAGCAUUUCAUAUUAUUCUGUACGUAAAUACGGGACACUCAAUUUAUAGUGAACAAAAUGUCAAGUGUUGGUCCCAUGUUUCAUGAGCUGAAAUAAAAUAAUCUCAGAAAUGUUUCAUUUGCACAAAAAGCUAAUUUCUCUCAAAUGUUGUGCACAAAUUUGUUUACAUCUGUUAGUGAUCCUUUGCCAAGAUUAUUCCAUCCACCUGACAGGUGUGGCACAUAAAGGAGCUGAUUAAACAGCAUGAUCAU
rnacentral:lncRNA from 1 species